AGUAACGCGUGGGUAACCUGCCUCAUACAGGGGGAUAACAGUUAGAAAUGACUGCUAAUACCGCAUAAGACCACAGCUCGGCAUCGAGCAGAGGGAAAAGGAGCAAUCCGCUUUGAGAUGGCCUCGCGUCCGAUUAGCUAGUUGGUGAGGUAACGGCCCACCAAGGCGACGAUCGGUAGCCGGACUGAGAGGUUGAACGGCCACAUUGGGACUGAGACACGGCCCAG
rnacentral:rRNA from 1 species